rnacentral:misc_RNA from 1 species
AUGCCUGUUCGAGCGUCAUUACACCACUCAAGCACAGCUUGGUAUUGGGUUCCGCGGACACGCGAGCCUCAAUGACACCGGCCGAGCACCCGACCUCCGAGCGUAGAAGCAUCGUUUCGCUCUCGAGUUAGGACCCGCGCCGUCAAAACCUCUUUCACAAGGUUGACCUCGGAUCAGGUAGGGAUACCCGCUGAACUUAA